AACGAACGCUGGCGGCAGGCUUAACACAUGCAAGUCGAACGCCCCGCAAGGGGAGUGGCAGACGGGUGAGUAACGCGUGGGAAUCUACCCAGUUCUACGGAAUAACCCAGGGAAACUUGGACUAAUACCGUAUACGCCCUACGGGGGAAAGAUUUAUCGGAAUUGGAUGAGCCCGCGUUGGAUUAGCUAGUUGGUGGGGUAAUGGCCUACCAAGGCGACGAUCCAUAGCUGGUCUGAGAGGAUGAUCAGCCACACUGGGACUGAGACACGGCCCAAACUCCUACGGGAGGCAGCAGUGGGGAAUAUUGGACAAUGGGCGCAAGCCUGAUCCAGCCAUGCCGCGUGAGUGAUGAAGGCCCUAGGGUUGUAAAGCUCUUUCACCGGAGAAGAUAAUGACGGUAUCCGGAGAAGAAGCCCCGGCUAACUUCGUGCCAGCAGCCGCCGUAAAAC
rnacentral:rRNA from 1 species